GACGAACGCUGGCGGCGUGCCUAAUACAUGCAAGUCGAACGCAGUGGGGCCGGGUGAGUAACACGUGGGUAACCUCCCCUCAGAGGGGAUAACACUUGGAAACAGGUGCUAAACCGCUACUGAUGGAUGGACCCGCGUUGCAUUAGCUAGUUGGUGGGGUAACGGCUCACCAAGGCCACGAUGCAUAGCCGGUCUGAGAGGGUGAUCGGCCACACUGGAACUGAGACACGGUCCAGACUCCUACGGGAGGCAGCAGUAGGGAAUCUUCGGCAAUGGACGAAAGUCUGACCGAGCAAUGCCGCGUGAGUGAAGAAGGUUUUCGGAUUGUAAAACUCUGUUGGUAGAGAAGCGGUAUCUAACCAGAAAGCAACGGCUAACUACGUGCCAGCAGCCGCGGUAAUUC
rnacentral:rRNA from 1 species